UCUACUGGAGUUCCAGAGUGGACCAGUAGGGGGCAUCAGUUCCAUGUCUCUGUUACCAUUCCCCUCUGUGUCUGUCUAGAGGUUUUUGUACAGCCAGUCAAUCAGAAUCUAUCACUGUGGUGGACUUUCGGUGGAGGGACCAAACUGAGUGUUGGCAAUGAUGUUCGUCCCACCCUGACAGUCCUGCCCCCCUCCAGUGUGGAGCUGCAGCAGCAGGGGAAGGCCACUCUCAUGUGCCUAGCCAACAAGGGCUUCCCCUCAGACUGGAAGCUGAGCUGGAAGGUGGACGGCAGCAGCAGCAACACCUGGGAGGUGACCGGGAGCCCCGGGGUCCUGGAGAAGGAUGGCCACUACAGCUGGAGCAGCACCCUGACCCUCCCUGUCGACCAGUGGAAGAAGGUGGGCUCUGUGACCUGUGAGGCCACCCAGGGCUCCCAGUCUCCUCUCUCUGAGACACUGAGGAGAGACCAGUGUUCUGAUUAAUGAGCUCCCCCCUCUGACUCCACUGUUUCUACUCUGCACCUCUCCUUCUUACUGUUCCAGCAAUACCAGCACACUGAUCUAAUGCUGGGCUGGAUCCUGUGUGGGAAUCCUUCCUCCAGCUGGAGCUUUUAGCAUAGUGGAACAAACAACAAAACACAUCUGAAUAGAUCUGCUUGGCUUUCAUAUCACAUGUGUUCUGAACCUUAUUACUGUAAUGCUGUUGGUUCUGACAUGUUGAGCUAAUAAAGACGUUCAAAACGUUAAA